ensembl:lncRNA
UUUUUUUUUUUAUGGUGGAGAGUAUUGUAUAAGUCAAAAAUAACAAUAAUAUGAAAACAAAAUAAUAUAAAUUGCAAAAUGGCAACAUGUCUGAAAAGUCAUUUAGUAAAAUGAAUGUAAAUAAGUAAAAUAGCAAUUUUGUAAAAAAAACAAAAAAAAAACCCAACAACAAUUAAAAAAGGAAAUACUUGUUGCCAUAUGGCAACACAAUUCAUUAAAGGGUUAACUAUGACAGUAUUCUUCUUUAACCAUUAACAAUUGUUUAACUGGCUACACACAUUUCCACACAGACACAGUGGUUCGUUGGUUAUAUCACACUAUUCACAAUGAGCUCUGUGUUUGUAGAAAAGUUCAAGCCAGUGUGAGGUGACUUCAAUGAGUAACUUGAAAUUGAGUAAAUUACUGAGGAUGUAUUUAUAAAGUACUGAGGUUGUAUGUGUAAAGUACUGAGUUUGUAUAUGUAAAGUAUUGAGUUUGUAUUUGUAAAUUACUGAGGAUGUAUUUAUAAAGUACUGCGUUUGUAUUUGUAAAGUACUGAGGUUGUAUUUAUAAAGUACUGAGUUUGUAUUUGUAAAUUACUGAGGAUGUAUUUGUAAAGUACUGAGGUUGUAUGUGUACAGUACUGAGUUUGUAUUGAAAAGUACUGAGGUUGUAUUGGUAAAGUACCAAGGUUGUAUUUAUAAGAUAUUAUAGUUGUGUUUAUCACUGAUAAUGUAUUUUUUUAUAUACCAUGGCUGUGUUUAUCAGGUACUGAAGCUGUUUAUCGCUGUUAUUUUAUUUUUCAUGCAUUCUUUAUUUUCUUCAGCUUUGAAGUAGAAACAUCAACAUAAUUUCCCGCACUGGUUUAUUUGCCUUAAAGCCAGACUUUGUCAAACUAGGCAGUAUAGCACUUGGUCGUGGUUUAGGUGGGGCCAUGGUUUAGAGUGGAUCUACACAGGGAGGAAGGUGUUUGGGGAUGAGUUAGAGUAAUGACUAACAUGGCACACCUGAGUCCUAUUGCACCUCUCUCUCUCUCAGGGCAUGAACACAAAUACAAACCUGCUCUAUGUACUCUAGUAUUUUGACUUUAAGUGAUACUUCAUCCAUAAAACUAUGUUAACCAUGCACUUGUUGUGUAUGCAAAUAGUGAUUUUAAAG